GACGUAGGGCGCGAGCGUUGUCCGGAUUUAUUGGGCGUAAAGAGCUCGUAGGCGGCUUGUCGCGUCGACUGUGAAAUCCCGCGGCUCAACUGCGGGUCUGCAGUCGAUACGGGCAGGCUAGAGUUCGGUAGGGGAGACUGGAAUUCCUGGUGUAGCGGUGAAAUGCGCAGAUAUCAGGAGGAACACCGGUGGCGAAGGCGGGAUCUCUGGGGCCUACUGA
rnacentral:rRNA from 1 species